CAUGCAAGUCGAACGGCAGCACGGGGAGCACCCUGGUUGGCGAGUGGCGAACGGGUGAGUCAUACAUCGGAACGUGUCCUGGAGUGGGGGAUAGCCCGGCGAAAGCCGGAUUAAUACCGCAUACGAUCUCUGGAUGAAAGCGGGGGACCGAAAGGCCUCGCGCUCAAGGGGCGGCCGAUGGCAGAUUAGCUAGUUGGUGGGGUAAAGGCCUACCAAGGCGACGAUCUGUAGCUGGUCUGAGAGGACGACCAGCCACACUGGGACUGAGACACGGCCCAGACUCCUACGGGAGGCAGCAGUGGGGAAUUUUGGACAAUGGGGGCAACCCUGAUCCAGCAAUGCCGCGUGUGUGAAGAAGGCCUUCGGGUUGUAAAGCACUUUUGUCCGGAAAGAAAACCGCUUCUCUAAUACAGAGGUGGGAUGACGGUACCGGAAGAAUAAGCACCGGCUAACUACGUGCCAGCAGCCGCGGUAAUACGUAGGGUGCGAGCGUUAAUCGGAAUUACUGGGCGUAAAGCGUGCGCAGGCGGUUCGCUAAGACCGAUGUGAAAUCCCCGGGCUUAACCUGGGAACUGCAUUGGUGACUGGCGGGCUAAAGUAUGGCAGAGGGGGGUAGAAUCCACGUGUAGCAGUGAAAUGCGUAGAGAUGUGGAGGAAUACCGAUGGCGAAGGCAGCCCC
rnacentral:rRNA from 1 species